UACAGAGGGGGCAAGCGUUGUUCGGAAUUACUGGGCGUAAAGGGCGCGUAGGCGGCCUGCUAAGUCGAACGUGAAAUCCCCGAGCUCAACUCGGGAACUGCGUCCGAUACUGACAGGCUUGAAUCCGGGAGAGGGAUGCGGAAUUCCAGGUGUAACGGUGAAAUGCGUAGAUAUCUGGAGGAACACCGGUGGCGAAGGCGGCAUCCUGGACCGGUAUUGACGCUGAGGCGCGAAAGCUAGGGGAGCAAACGGG
rnacentral:rRNA from 1 species